UACGUAGGGAGCAAGCGUUGUCCGGAAUCAUUGGGCGUAAAGCGCGCGUAGGUGGCCUCAUAAGUCCGCUGUGAAAGUCAAAGGCUCAACCUUUGAAAGCCGGUGGAUACUGUGAGGCUAGAGUACGGAAGAGGCGAGUGGAAUUCCUGGUGUAGCGGUGGAAUGCGCAGAUAUCAGGAGGAACACCAAUAGCGAAGGCAGCUCGCUGGGACGUUACUGACACUGAGGCGCGAAAGCGUGGGAGCGAACAGG
rnacentral:rRNA from 1 species